CCUACGGGAGGCAGCAGUGAGGAAUAUUGGUCAAUGGACGAGAGUCUGAACCAGCCAAGUAGCGUGAAGGAUGACUGCCCUAUGGGUUGUAAACUUCUUUUAUAUGGGAAUAAAAUGUUCCACGUGUGGGCUUUUGUAUGUACCAUAUGAAUAAGGAUCGGCUAACUCCGUGCCAGCAGCCGCGGUAAUACGGAGGAUCCGAGCGUUAUCCGGAUUUAUUGGGUUUAAAGGGUGCGUAGGUGGAUUGUUAAGUCGAUUGUGAAAGUUUGCGGCUCAACCGUAAAAUUGCAGUUGAAACUGGCAGUCUUGAGUACAGUAGAGGUGGGCGGAAUGCGUGGUGUAGCGGUGAAAUGCUUAGAUAUCACGAAGAACUCCGAUUGCGAAGGCAGCUCACUGGACUGCAACUGACACUGAGGCUCGAAAGUGUGGGUAUCAAACAGGAUUAGAUACCCGGGUAGUC
rnacentral:rRNA from 1 species